rnacentral:rRNA from 1 species
CCUACGGGAGGCAGCAGUGGGGAAUCUUGCGCAAUGGGCGAAAGCCUGACGCAGCAACGCCGCGUGCGGGAAGAAGGCUUUCGGGCUGUAAACCGCUUUCAGCAGGAACGAAAAUGACGGUACCUGCAGAAGAAGGAGCGGCCAACUAUGUGCCAGCAGCCGCGGUGAUACAUAGGCUUCAAGCGUUGUCCGGAUUUAUUGGGCGUAAAGAGUUCGUAGGCGGUCGAGUAGGUCGGGUGUGAAAAUUCUGGGCUCAACCCAGAGACGCCACCCGAUACUGCUUGACUUGAGUUCGAUAGGGGAGUGGGGAAUUCCUAGUGUAGCGGUGAAAUGCGCAGAUAUUAGGAGGAACACCGGUGGCGAAGGCGCCACUCUGGAUCGAUACUGACGCUGAGGAACGAAAGCAUGGGUAGCAAACAGGAUUAGAUACCCUGGUAGUCCAUGCCGUAAACGGUGGGCACUAGGUGUGGGUUUCUAUUAACGAAAUCCGCGCCGUCGCUAACGCAUUAAGUGCCCCGCCUGGGGAGUACGGUCGCAAGCUAAACCUUAAGGAAUUGACGGCUGAGAGNGCGAGCGACACGAGGAGAG